rnacentral:rRNA from 1 species
UCGAGCGACAGAUGAGAAGCUUGCUUCUCUGAUGUUAGCGGCGGACGGGUGAGUAACACGUGGGUAACCUACCUAUAAGACUGGGAUAACUCCGGGAAACCGGGGCUAAUACCGGAUAAUAUAUUGAACCGCAUGGUUCAAUGUUGAAAGACGGUUUCGGCUGUCACUUAUAGAUGGACCCGCGCCGUAUUAGCUAGUUGGUAAGGUAACGGCUUACCAAGGCAACGAUACGUAGCCGACCUGAGAGGGUGAUCGGCCACACUGGAACUGAGACACGGUCCAGACUCCUACGGGAGGCAGCAGUAGGGAAUCUUCCGCAAUGGGCGAAAGCCUGACGGAGCAACGCCGCGUGAGUGAUGAAGGUCUUAGGAUCGUAAAACUCUGUUGUUAGGGAAGAACAAAUUUGUUAGUAACUGAACAAGUCUUGACGGUACCUAACCAGAAAGCCACGGCUAACUACGUGCCAGCAGCCGCGGUAAUACGUAGGUGGCAAGCGUUAUCCGGAAUUAUUGGGCGUAAAGCGCGCGUAGGCGGUUUCUUAAGUCUGAUGUGAAAGCCCACGGCUCAACCGUGGAGGGUCAUUGGAAACUGGGGAACUUGAGUGCAGAAGAGGAGAGUGGAAUUCCAUGUGUAGCGGUGAAAUGCGCAGAGAUAUGGAGGAACACCAGUGGCGAAGGCGGGCUCUCUGGUCUGUAACUGACGCUGAUGUGCGAAAGCGUGGGGAUCAAAACAGGAUUAUAUACCCUGGUAGUCCACGCCGUAAACGAUGAGUGCUAAGUGUUGAGGGGUUUCUCCCCUUAGUGCUGCAGCUACGCAUUAACACUCCGCGUGGGGAGUACGACGACAGGGUGGAUACUCAUCAGAGUGACGAAGA